rnacentral:rRNA from 1 species
UACGUAGGGGGCAAGCGUUGUCCGGAUUUAUUGGGCGUAAAGAGCGUGUAGGCGGCUUUACAGGUCCGUUGUGAAAACUCGAGGCUCAACCUCGAGACGCCGGUGGAAACCGUAAGGCUAGAGUCCGGAAGAGGAGAGUGGAAUUCCUGGUGUAGCGGUGAAAUGCGCAGAUAUCGGGAAGAACACCUGUGGCGAAGGCGGCUCUCUGGGACGGUACUGACGCUGAGACGCGAAAGCGUGGGGAGCGAACAGG